AGGAGGAACAGCCCCAGUGGCGGGGCAGCUCUGGAAACCUGGAUUCAGCUCCGGCAGGAACUCCGUCUGCCCGGCCUGGAGGCUCCGGGGCGGG
rnacentral:pre_miRNA from 1 species